rnacentral:rRNA from 1 species
UCCUGGCUCAGGAUGAACGCUGGCGGCGUGCCUAAUACAUGCAAGUCGAACGGGGGGACGGAAGCUUGCUUCCUGAACCUAGUGGCGAACGGGUGAGUAACACGUAGGUAACCUGCCCUUAAGCUUGGGAUACCCAGAGGAAACUUUGGCUAAUACCGGAUAACAACAGAAGAGGCAUCUCUUCAGUUUGAAAGGCCCUUUACGGGGUCACUUAAGGAUGGACCUGCGGCGCAUUAGCUAGUUGGUGAGAUAACAGCCCACCAAGGCGAGGAUGCGUAGCCGACCUGAGAGGGUGAUCGGCCACAUUGGAACUGAGACACGGUCCAAACUCCUACGGGAGGCAGCAGUAAGGAGUUUUCGGCAAUGGGGGAAACCCUGACCGAGCAACGCCGCGUGAGUGAAUGACGGCCCUAUGGGUUGUAAAGCUCUGUUGUGAGGGACGAAUGGCUAGCUUAGGAAAUGAAGUUAGUUUGACGGUACCUCACCAGAAAGCCACGGCUAACUACGUGCCAGCCGCCGC